GCCCCCGUAGCUCAGUUUGGAUAGAGCACCAGCCUCCUAAGCUGGGGGUCGUGAGUUCGAAUCUCACCGGGGGCA
rnacentral:tRNA from 1 species